UACGUAGGGGGCAAGCGUUGUCCGGAUUUAUUGGGCGUAAAGAGCGUGUAGGCGGCCAGAUAGGUCCGUUGUGAAAACUCGAGGCUCAACCUCGAGACGCCGAUGGAAACCAUCUGGCUAGAGUCCGGAAGAGGAGAGUGGAAUUCCCGGUGUAGCGAUGGAAUGCGUAGAGAUCGGGAAGAACAUCAGUGGCGAAGGCGGCCUGCUGGGCUGUUGCUGACGCUGAGGCGCGACAGCGUGGGGAGCAAACAGG
rnacentral:rRNA from 1 species